CUGUACGUUACGCGAGAAGAGUGCGAAUCGAAUCACUCGGUGUACGGGCUCCAAGGACAGAAGACCGUUCGUUUGUUUGUGCAACAAAUAAUAAAAAUGAGAGAUAAACUGCUUCUCGUAGCGUUAGUACUUCCAUUAUGUUUGAGUUUGGCAAACGCCGCUAGCAAUGACGAACACGAGGACGACCCGAAGCACGAACAAUCAUGGGUUUCAACAAUAAAAAGGGUGACAAAAAUGAUUCAGGAAAUAACCCCAAACCCAGCAGUUUUGACAGGAAUAAAGCGAGUAACCAUAAGCUUAUUUAAUAACGUUUGUCAGAUAACCGUAGAAUAUUAAUUAUUUUGUUUAAUGAUCUACCUUGUCACUUACAUUUAUGAAAAACUGACCCAACCUCAGUCAUAUAUGAAGUUGAAGUUGAACAGUGACAAACAUUUCCCACGUAUUCUUUGUUAGAUACCGAUGCACUUCAACAAAAAAAAUCUGAUUCUUAUCAUAUCAGCCAAUCCACAAUUUCGUCAGAUUCACAGAAAAUGUUUUUUUUUUUACCGUGGUAAAAUCGAAACAGCACUCAGUUCUAUAGCAUUAUGGUGCUUCUAAUCUUGAUUUUUUAAAUGAAAUUUCACUUAUGACACAUUCGAUCAUAAGCAUAGUACAGUCCCUCUACAAUUAUGGGUCAGUCAACGUGUUGCCUGAAUGUUCAAAAAUUAAUAUAAAAUCGGAAAAAUAUGAAUGUUUCACUAUCUAUUUCUGUGUUCUGAUGUAUACUUUCGAUCGACAAAAAAUUUCACUGCAGCUAAUGUGUGCAAAUCGAUUAAGAGGAAAAAUAUUACUUGUAUAGCAAAAGACACAAUUAUGGGUCGCUUUUGGCAUUCAAAAUCAAUUAGUUUAUAAAACCCUCAAAACCUAUCACAAAAGUUUUUGUAUCGUUUUAUAACCUUGAUAAUAAGUUGUUUUAUUAAGCCGUGAUGUAUUUUCAUGCAAAAGUAAUAAAAUUAGCCGAAAUAUGAACUGACCCACAAUUGUGCACCGCAAAAUGUAAUAUUUCUACAAUUAUGGGUCACUUCACUCAUUGCACCGAGCAGAAUUAUAGUUUUAGUGACAUCUAACACUAAAUCAUUUCAAUAGUAUGAAAAGGGUUACAAUUGAGUUAUAAGAAAAACUACUGAUAAUGAAAAUUGUUCAGUUUCUUGAGAAUAGACGUAUUUCCGUAAAAGUGACCCAUAAUUGUAGCUGACCCAUAAUCGUGGAGGCACUGUACCUCAAGAUCAGCUCAUCGCAGGCAAAUCGAAAAAUUUCAAACGCUUGUUUCUGCUUAUACACGUCUCUAACGAUAAAUCGACCGUUGCAUUGUUUUUCGCUAACAAAAACCAUAAUUCCUAAUUUGGUGGUAUGAUAUUUUAUGCCGAUAAUGAAAAAUAAAACUCCGAAAAAAUAAA